AUGGUGCCCUUUAUUUAUUUGUUCACUUUGAAUUGUCAGUAUAAUAAAAUGAAUAUAUGUCAACCUACACAAUAUUUCCCAGGGUGCUUUCCUCUACUGCUUAUAUCCCAUUUUUGCUGGGCAAGAUUUAGAAAAUAUUUAUUAAGAGCCUGCUAUGGCCCAGGCACUUUUCAGAAUCUUUUUUCACAAAUGCUACAUAUUUUAAGUUUGAUUGGCAUUAUAUAUGAUUACGUUCCCAUAUGGUUGUGCAUAUUAGUUUCCAGUAAUUGGUGAACAGAAUGUAAAAUUAUCUUUUUAUAUCAUGAUGAUUACACAAAAAGUUUAAGAAGGAAACCAAAAUUAUAAAUUCAAAUAACCCAGCUUUUCUUUUUUUUUUUUUUGUAUAUUUUUUAUUGGAGUUUGAUUUGCCAACAUAUAAACACCCAGUGCUCAUCCCGUCAAGUGCCCCCUCAGUGCCCAUCACCCAGUCACCCUAUCCCCCUGCCCACCUCCCCUUCCACUACGCCUUGUUCGUUUCCCAGAGUAACCCAGCUUUUCAAAUAUCCUUUCACCUGACCCUAAAUAAUUUGAUUUCAGUAAGCUUCAACUCUUUGAUAUCCUCUUAACAACUACUUUUAAGUACCAUGAAUUUAUCAGAAAAAUCAUUAAAGUAUAUAAAAUGUGUGACUCGUAGAAGGCUUCUUAAAAACAGCUUUAUUUGGAUGUAAUUCACAUACCAUAAAAUUUACCCAAGUCCUCACCUCAUACCAUCAUCUUUGCAGGUUCAAUUUUAGUUCAACUCUGUAUUUUUUAGAAUAUUCCCAGAGUUAUGCAACCAUUACCAACACUCCGAGAAGAAAUCCAUUCCCAUUGGUAGUCCCUCCCAAUUCGCCCUUCUCCCUAAUCCUUGGCAACAAGUAGUCUAUUUUCUAUCCCCAUGGAUUUGCUUAUUCUGGAUAUUAUAUAUAAAUGGAAUUAUGCACCACAUGUGGCCUUUCCUGUCUGGCUUCUUUCACUUAGAAUGUUUUCAAGGUUCACCCAAGUUGUACGAUGUAUCAGUAUAUCCUUACUUUUAUGAAUGAAUAUUUCACUGUGGAUAUACCAUAUUUUAUUUAUCUAUUCAUCAGUUGAUGGGCACUGGGUCCUUUGCACCUUUUGGAUAUUGAAUAAUGCUACCUGCUGAGGCUGAUUCACAAGUUUUUGCGUGGACAUAGGCUUUCAUUUCUCUCGGUUAUAUACCUAGCAGUGGAACUGUUAGAUCAUGCGGUAAUUCUAUGUGUAAUCUUUUGAGGAACUGUUCUUUUACAGAAUGUCUGCAUUGUUGUAAGAUCCCCUAAGGAAUGUAUAAGGAAGGGUUCUGUUUCCUCUACAUUUUCAUCAACACUUGUUGUUGUCUGACUUUUUAAUUAGAGCCAUCCUGGUGGGUGUGAAGUAUAACUCACUGUGGGUUUUGAUGUGCAUUUCUCUAAUGCUAGUGACUUGGGAUUUUUUUUCAUGUGCUUAUUUGUUGUUUGAAUAUCUUCUUUGGAGAAACAUCUAUUCAAAUUAUUUGACUAUUUAAAGAAUUGAGUUGUCUUUUAAUUACUGAAUUCUAAGACUUCUUUAUACAUUCUUUAAAUAUUUUAUUUUAUUUUAUUUAUUUUAUUUUAUUUUAUUUUAUUUUUUCAUUCUUUAAAUUUUAAACUCCCUUGUCAGAUACAUGAUUUGUAAAUAUAGUCUCUCAUUCUUCAGUUUCUCUUUUCACUUUCUCUAUGGUGUCCUCUGGAGCACAAAGUUUUUAGUUUUGAAGUCCAGUUUAUUUUUUCUUUUGCCAUUUGUGCUUUUGGUGUCACAUCUAGCAAACCACUGCCUGAUUCAUAGGCACUGAGAUUUCCUAAUUUCAUCUAAGGAUUUGGUAAUUUUAGCUCUUACAUUUCAUCCAUUUUGAAUUAAAUUUUGUGUAUGUUGUGAGGGAAGGAUCCAGCUUUAUUGUUUUUAUGCAGAUAUCCAGUUGUCCCAGCACCAUUUGUUGAAAAGAUGAUUCUUUCUCCCAUUAAAUUGUCUUGCAUCCUGCAAAGUCAAUUGACUGUAAACAUAUGGAUUUAUUUCCAGACUCCAUUCCAUUAAUCUAUAUGCCUAUCUUUAUGCCCGUACCACAUGGUCUGAUGCCUGUAGUGUUGUAGUAAGUUUUUUUCUUUUUUAAGAUUUUAUUUAUUUUAGAGAGAGAGAGAGAGAGAGCACACAGGGGGUGGUGAGAGGGAGAGAGGGAUUAGAGGGAGAGAGAAUCUCAUACAGACUCCUCACUGACCAUGGAACCUCCUACAGGGAUCCAUCCCAUGACCCUGAGAUCAUGACCUGAGCUGAAACCAAGAGUCUGAUGCUUAACUGGCUGAACCACCCAGGCACCCUUGGUAGCUUUGUAGUAAGUUUUGAAAUUUGGAAGCAUGAGUCCUCCAACUUUGCUCUUUUUCAAGAUUGUGUUGUUGUUGUUUUUUUUUUUUUUUUUAAAUAUUUUAUUUAUUUAUGACAGAUACAGAGAGAGAGAGGGAAGACCAGCAGAGGAGAAGCAGGCUCA
rnacentral:lncRNA from 1 species